GUUUUUGCUUUUAAAAAGAAUACUGUUUAAGCUCUAAAUACAAACUGCAAGGAAAAAAGAACCAGGCGUACCAGUCUGGACACAUUUAAAGCCUGAACCCAUUCAACAGCUGCACCAACCACCGCUCAUUCCUGCUGCACACGCUCCACCGCCUGCCUGCAGGGAGACCCAGUGGAGAAGUACCAUGCACUGGAGAGCGUCCUUCAGGGAGGUGACAGCCGACUUCAGAGCAACGCUGAGAGCCACCUGACAGCAAAGGUGCCCGGUGGCCACAGAGGAGCCCAGUCCAGGUACAUCAGCCUCCAAGAAAAGGAGAAGUCUAAAGGCAGCAUCCUCCCCAGCAAGUUUUGUUCUAGGCAUCAGUCUGCCCGACGUCCACUGUGGAACUGGGGCCUGUGAAGAAUGAUGACGAGAGGUGCUGGGACUGCUUUCUCGAGGAAGAGCUCCAGGCUGACCCUUGGGCCAGAGAAGUCCAAGCUCACAGGGACGGGCCUGCACAGGCUAUGUAGAAGACGGACCACUGUGGAUCGGGCCCAGAGGAUCCCACAGAAUUGUCCUCAGACUCCGAGGCAGAGAGAAAUCCACAGAAGAGCAGUGGCCAAACAGCAAGCACAGAAGCAGCUGUAGCCAAAAGCACCUGAGCCUGAGGAUGGCAGGGAGCGCGCUGAUGUGCAGAGAGCUAGGAUGCUGAAGGGGUCUUAAUUUCAUCUAAAUCCAAAACCUCAACACAUAGUGGGGAGGGGCAGUGCCCCAGGGCCGUGGCCGCGGUGGGAAGGCCGGACUGUGAGGUCACAGAGCCCCGCUGUGCCACGCCGUGAUGUGCAGUGCUGUGCCACGGGCACCGCUCCAGCAGCAGCAGCAGCAGCAGCAGCAGCAGCAGCAGCAGCGGCAUGGCGCAGGCGUGGGGGGCCAUGACCCCCGCCUGCCUCCUUACCCUCUUUGUGGUGUCCCUGCAAGCCUGGGCUGUCGGGGCUGCUCCGUGGCAAGCGCGGGGAUUAGCUGUGCCUGUAGCCGAUGGCCACCCGACUGCUCAGCCGGAUCUUGUCCGGGAGCCUCAGGGCAACCCCACAGG